GAGUUUGAUCCUGGCUCAGAACGAACGCUGGCGGCGUGCUUAACACAUGCAAGUCAGGGAGAAAGUCUCUUCGGGGAUGAUUAAACCGGCGCACGGGUGAGUAACACGUGAGUGACCUGCCUUUUAGACUGGAACAACUUACCGAAAGGUGAGCUAAUGCCGGAUGAGUUAUAUAAGUGCAUGUUUAUAUAGGAAAAGUUGGGGAGACCUGACGCUGAAAGAUGGACUCGCGUCCCAUUAGCUAGUUGGUAGGGUAAUGGCCUACCAAGGCGACGAUGGGUAGCCGGCCUGAGAGGGUGGCCGGCCACACUGGGACUGAGACACGGCCCAGACUCCUACGGGAGGCAGCAGUGGGGAAUUUUGCGCAAUGCUCGUAAGAGUGACGCAGCGACGCCGCGUGAAUGACGAAGGCCUUCGGGUCGUAAAGUUCUUUUGACAGGGAAGAAAAUGCCUAUAAGUAACUGUGUAUGUAUUGACGGUACCUGUAUAAGCAGCCCCGGCUAACUCCGUGCCAGCAGCCGCGGUAAUACGGAGGGGGCGAGCGUUGUUCGGAGUGACUGGGCGUAAAGAGCACGUAGGCGGUGUUGUAAGUCAUUAGUCAAAGACUAGAGCUCAACUUUAGUAAGGCUAGUGAUACUAUAAUACUAGAGUAUCAGAGAGGAUUGCAGAAUUCCUGGUGUAGCGGUGAAAUGC
rnacentral:rRNA from 1 species